rnacentral:rRNA from 1 species
ACGGGGUGCAGCAGGCGCGAAAACUUCACAAUGUGCGAAAGCGCGAUGAGGGAAUCCCAAGUGCUUGCUCGUAAGAGUAAGCUGUUUUUAUGUUUAAAAUGCAUAGAGAGUAAGGGCUGGGUAAGACGGGUGCCAGCCGCCGCGGUAAUACCUGCAGCUCUAGUGGUGGCCGCUAUUAUUGGGCCUAAAACGUCCGUAGCCGGUUUAAUAAAUGCCUGGGUAAAUCGUGUAGCUUAACUAUACGAAUUCCGGGUAGACUGUUAGACUUGAGACCGGGAGAAGUUAGAGGUACUCCUGGGGUAGAGGUGAAAUUCUGUAAUCCUAGGGGGACCACCAGUGGCGAAGGCGUCUGACUAGAACGGGUCUGACGGUGAGGGACGAAGCCCUGGGGCGCAAACCGGAUUAGAUACCCGGGUAGUCCAGGGUGUAAACGCUGCUUGCUUGAUGUUAGUCGGGCUCCGAGCCCGAUUAGUGUCGGAGAGAAGUUGUUAAGCAAGCUGCCUGGGAAGUACGGUCGCAAGGCUGAAACUUAAAGGAAUUGGCGGGGGAGCACAGCAACGGGUGGAGCGUGCGGUUUAAUUGGAUUCAACGCCGGAAAUCUCACCGGAGGCGACGGUUACAUGAAGGCCAGGCUGAUGACCUUGCCAGAUUUUCCGAGAGGUGGUGCAUGGCCGCCGUCAGUUCGUACCGUAAGGCGUUCUGUUAAGUCAGACAACGAACGAGACCCUCAUCUUUAAUUGCUACUGGUAAGUUCGCUUAUCA